rnacentral:rRNA from 1 species
GACGAACGCUGGCGGCGUGCUUAACACAUGCAAGUCGAACGGAAAGGCCCUGCUUGCAGGGUACUCGAGUGGCGAACGGGUGAGUAACACGUGGGUGAUCUGCCCUGCACUUCGGGAUAAGCCUGGGAAACUGGGUCUAAUACCGGAUAGGAGCCAUUUUUAGUGUGAUGGUUGGAAAGUUUUUUCGGUGUAGGAUGAGCUCGCGGCCUAUCAGCUUGUUGGUGGGGUAAUGGCCUACCAAGGCGGCGACGGGUAGCCGGCCUGAGAGGGUGGACGGCCACAUUGGGACUGAGAUGCGGCACAGACUCCGACGGGAGGCAGCAGGGGGGAAGAUUGCACAAUGGGCGCAAGCCGGAUGCAGCGACGCUGCGGGGGGGAUGACGGCCUUCGGGUUGUAAACUCCUUUCGCUAGGGACGAAGCUUUUUGUGACGGUACCUAGAUAAGAAGCACCGGCUAACUACGUG